UAGCUAUGGUGUUCCAUGUGC
rnacentral:siRNA from 1 species